AUGUGUUUAACACAGGCUGUGAGUCCCAGUGCAGAAGGUAACAGGUGUGGUCACUGGGGUGAAAAUGUAAGUCAGAAUACAGUGGAAGUGUCCACUGAAUGAAAUUCUUGGACAAGCCUGUCCACUACUCAGAAAAUAGCCCUGGGCCUGGGAAUCCCAGCCAGGGCCACAGCCACCUACAUCCCAUACCACAGGUACAGGGAGAGCAGAGAAGAGCAGCUGACGUUUGCUGGGGAGGAUGACAUUGAAAUAGAGAUGUGAGUUCCCCAGGAAGCUGGGAAGCUCAUCAUUGGCCGGCAAGGAGCCAAUGUUAAACAGCUGCGGACACAGAGGAUGCAGGCGCUGAGCGCGGGCUGCUUAUCAGUGGUUUUCCUGUUCAGGUGUGCAAGGCCAAAGCAGCGAACCCUCAGAUCCUGACAGAGAACACCCCGGUGUCUGAGCAAUUCCCAGGUCCCCAGAGACCUGAGGGCAGAGUCAUAGGAAGAGGCUUGAGAUGAUUUGUUCUACCUGUAAGGCCUCUGAAACCAAAAUUAUCUGUGACAAAGAAUCAAAGGGGACAUUACUACUAUCAACACAUAAAAAUCUCAGGAACACAGAAGGAAGUGGCAGCAACCAAGCAUUUGAUACUGGAGAAAGGGUUUCAGAAGAUGAAGAAUGUCAGAAGAGAAUUACAUAGUGCAGAAACCAGAGUUUCACACAAGCAACCAAUCAGUGUGAGAAGAGAGGAAAUGACAGAGCCGGAUGAAGCUGGAGAGCCAGUAGUAGGGAAAAACAUGAGUUCUAGCAUGGGGCAGUUACUCCCCACAAAGCAGGAGGUGAUAUGGCUGCUGUGGGGCCAAAGGAAAGCUCCGGGAGAAACCUAACGAUGACAGCAUUCAGAAGUCUGGUGCCAGGCCAUUCCAGAGACAUCCAUGUAUGAAAUCCCCAACCCUGACUUCAGUUUCUAUGCUGAUGAGUACCUAGAAGUCUAUGUCUUUGCAUCUGAACACCCAACCACUUCUGGAUCCAGAUCAUUGGCUCCCGCAGCCUGCAGUUGGAUAAGCUUGUCAAUGAGAUGACCCAGCACUAUAAAAAUAGCCUGCCUAAAGAUUUAACUGUGCAAAUAGGAGACACUGUAGCAGCACCUUUACUUACAAAUGGUCCCUGGUAUCCAUCCCAGAUCCUUGGCACCUUGGAAAAUGGGAACUAUGGCCUCUACUAUGUUGACUUUGGAGAUAAUGGAGACUGUCCACUGAAAGAUCUCAGGGCUCUCAAGGGCGACUUCCUGAGCCUUCUGUUUCAAGCAAUAGAGUGCAGCCUGGCACAGAUCGCCCCAUCAGGUGAACAGUAGGAAGAGGAAGCAUUGCAUGAACUUGACAGAAUCACUCACUGCGCUGACUGGAAGCCCCCUGUGGCCAUGAUCUCCAGCUAUGUCCACACUGGGGUCUCAACAUGGCCAAAGAUCUACUCACAUGACACUAGCAGUGGGGAGAAACUUGAUAUUGGGCUAGAAUUAGUUCAUAAAGGAUACUCAAUUGAGAUUCCUGAAGGCAUGGAAGAAAACAGAGGUAUCUCAGACAUGGUGAAGGAUGCAGCUGCAGACACAGAUGCCUCUCUCAUGGCUAUGAUGAGACCAAAAAGAGCCCUGGAGAGAUGACAUAUACCCCAUCCUGCCCCAGCUUGUCAGCAGCUGCCUCUGUGUUGGGUGAUGAUGACCUUGAAGACAACUACUCACUCUGA